rnacentral:piRNA from 1 species
GCACUUGAGUUCAGGAGUUCAAGACCAGCC